CUACUUCAGGAUGACGAGCCGAUCUCCUACAUCCUCAACGGCCUCGACAUGGACUUCAAGCUAUUGGUCUCUGCCCUUGACGCCCGCACCAACCCGGUGACCCUUGAUGAAAAUUUUGCUCAUCUGAGUAAUUUUGAUC
rnacentral:snoRNA from 1 species